CUUUUGAUGCGAGACGACUUGUGCUUCGCUGCCGUGUGUUUCCGCGGCGGCAAAUGGGGGGAUUGGGGCCUGUGGGAAAUCCGGCGGAGGCGGCGGUGCCGCACCGGGCAGCCGAGGUAGGGACGGGGCCUGUGGCGGUGGCCGCACCGGGCGGCGGCUCCUGCCUGCGCGACGACCUAAGGUUCCUUACAAAUUGGAAUGAGUAAUAGUGAAGCCAAUUGACGUACCAUCACUUGAAGCAGUGGUGAAGUUCUCCACCUGGACACGGGAGUACACCUCAUAUGCGUUAAUAAGAGGUGGUAGCUGUGAGUCUGGGGUCUUGCGAAGCUGAAAAUAUGCCCUUCUGCCUUUGCGCAAGAACCAGUUGUGGAACAUGGAGCUCAGGAAUGACGGUGGGCUGAAGUUGGAGAACAGUGCUUGCGGUUCAUCGACAUUGUAGAUGUCAAAAAUUCUCUUUGAACCAUUAUUGCCGAGUUCAACAAAGUGAAAGACUGGAAGAAGCUCUAGGUCUGUUGCGAGAGAGUUACUGGCACUAACGCUGAUGUUGAGCCAAGAGAAGUUUCCGUUUAUGGUUGAAGCGCUUCCCAGAAUGGCUGGAGGAAGCCCAAAGGUGUCAAUAUUAGGAAGUUCAGCCACCUUGCCGUUGCUACUCUUAUUAACCCAUGGAAAGGUGUGCAUGGUAAAGACCCAGCCCUCCCAGAAGCGAUCAUACUGAUCCGUUGGGAAUCUGACCAUGACAGAGGACAAAACAAAGAAAAGAUUAUGCCAACGUAAAUAUAACUGGAUUCAGCAUUGUCAUUGCCGUUGUUUUUGCUAAGCUUUAAGGCUUAUGGCUAUUGAUGUACUCGCUCCGGUCAUAAAUAUUUGAUAUUUGGAGUAAAUUUUGAUCAUAUUUUCAAAGCUUCGAGCCUUUGACCAUUAAUUUUAUGUUAUUUAAGUUCAUAAAAA